AUUGAACGCUGGCGGCAGGCUUAACACAUGCAAGUCGAGCGGGGGAAGGUAGCUUGCUACCGGACCUAGCGGCGGACGGGUGAGUAAUGCUUAGGAAUCUGCCUAUUAGUGGGGGACAACAUCUCGAAAGGGAUGCUAAUACCGCAUACGUCCUACGGGAGAAAGCAGGGGAUCUUCGGACCUUGCGCUAAUAGAUGAGCCUAAGUCGGAUUAGCUAGUUGGUGGGGUAAAGGCCUACCAAGGCGACGAUCUGUAGCGGGUCUGAGAGGAUGAUCCGCCACACUGGGACUGAGACACGGCCCAGACUCCUACGGGAGGCAGCAGUGGGGAAUAUUGGACAAUGGGGGGAACCCUGAUCCAGCCAUGCCGCGUGUGUGAAGAAGGCCUUAUGGUUGUAAAGCACUUUAAGCGAGGAGGAGGCUACUUUAGUUAAUACCUAGAGAUAGUGGACGUUACUCGCAGAAUAAGCACCGGCUAACUCUGUGCCAGCAGCCGCGGUAAUACAGAGGGUGCGAGCGUUAAUCGGAUUUACUGGGCGUAAAGCGUGCGUAGGCGGCUUAUUAAGUCGGAUGUGAAAUCCCCGAGCUUAACUUGGGAAUUGCAUUCGAUACUGGUGAGCUAGAGUAUGGGAGAGGAUGGUAGAAUUCCAGGUGUAGCGGUGAAAUGCGUAGAGAUCUGGA
rnacentral:rRNA from 1 species